AAAGCUGUCACAAGAAGUGAUUGUUUAGUUUCUUGUUGCAAAGCAGAUACAGUGAUGAUGGCAUAGUUCAGCAGAAUAUUCUGUGACGAACAGUUUUGUCUUUCGCUCCUAUCUGAAGUGUCUGUUGUGAUCUUUUGCUUAGGGGGUGUUGCUUGGCUGUGAAGCCUGAGGGAAUCUGAUGGGUUUUUUUCUUUUGUUACAGGUACUGGGAAAUGAAGCUAUAAACUGUGCAAGGUAAAUAGUGUAUUGCCUGCAUUUGUGAAAGCUCAUUUAUAUCCCAGAUGUGUGGAAGGCUGUGUGUGAUGACAGCAUAGUUCAGCAGAUGACUCAUGGUGAUCAUGCAGUUACUGUCUUUCGCUCCUAGCUGAUGCAGCCUUCUGCACCUUAAGCUGUUGGACAAUUCAUGAGGAAAGCUGAGGGUGAAACCCACUUUAGCUCCAUGGAUGUGUUCCAAAAAUUUGUUUCAGAAGCUAAAAAAUUUAGAAGGAUAAAGGGCUGCUCUUGAUGGAGGGUACCUGUGCCUCCAGUGUGAGAAUAUUUCACCUGUUUCUAAUGCUUGUGAAGACAAGGCCUUUCUAAUUGAAGGCUUCCAGAGUUUGUCAUUGCAAUGGCUGCUGUGGUGAAGCUGUGAAGUAGUGCUGUUGUAGUCUAUCAGCAAAAAUUUGAGAAUGGGAGAACUGCUGCAUGCUUUGUGACAGAUGAUUCUUCCUUGAGUGAAGCUCAUGAGGAGUUUGUGUGAGGAACAAGACUAACUCAUGUCUGAGGAAAGGACUGUGCCAUCUGCAGCCUCAUUGGGUAAGACCGCACAGCAGAUGAAUUCUGUUAAAAAAAAUAUGGGGAUAUUUGUAGCCACUGAUGAAAUUUGAUUCUGCCAAAUGAAUGACUGUGAUAUUACACUUUCCGUUCCACUUUUCUCUGAGGUUACAAAGUUGCUGUGGAGCUUUUAGAGUUGUGCUACUGCAAGAUUUAAUUGUGGUUUCUUACUCCAGGUGAGGAGGCAACUUUGAAAUUACUCUAUGAAGAACUGAAGGUGAGUAUAACUAGUAAUGAUGAAAUAAGUUUGCUGGAAUGAAUGAUGAUAACCUUAGCUUGAACUCUCUCGCUGAACAGAGAUGAAAAUCUAAGGUCUGAGUUGUUCCAAGCAAGUUUAUUGUACUGAUCUGAUGCCUUAUAAUGGUUCUGUCUGUCUUAAUAGGUGGAAGAUUGCAGAAUAAUGCAUUAACUUGCAUGAGCAGCACUAAAAAAGCCCAAGAGUUCUUUUACUCACACCAGUUAUGUUUCACUGAUGGGUACCAAUAAAAAUCUGUAAACUCUACCUAUUGUUGUGAACUGUUUUCUGAUUAACAGCUUCCUGUAAAACACCUCUUGGCUACUUGAUGAAAGCUUCAAAUGCUUUUAGAGCAAGGCCUAAACUAGUUGGAAUGCUAGUCCUGCAAGGGUCAAAAGUGUCAGAUACUGCUGGUGUGCAGACUGCAUAACCAAACAAAGAUUUGGACAAAGCUAAAUCAAAGUAGUAAUUAGUAUGUUUUCUCAUAACUAAACACUGUUUGUGUAUUUUUCCUGAAAAGUUUUAAAACAAAGUCACUGCUUGUGAGGCCCUGAGGCCUGCUAAGGUAUUGCUGCUUCCCAGAGCUCAUUAAUAGGAGGUUUUUCUCUGAAAAAUUCAUUUAACUUCCCCCAUAUUUCUGGUAUCUCAGGGGUGAUACUGAUAUGAGAAGUCAGCUCUAGGAAGAGCUCAUUCUCUAUAACGUGAGCUAAUGCUAUAGUACUUCUAAUGAGAAGUAGAACUAAACAUCCGAGCUGUUCUGCAGGAAUAUUUUCACAUUACUGGUGUUCCCUAGAACCUUUCG